rnacentral:ncRNA from 2 species
UAAAGCAGUAGAGGCGCACCAAUGAACAGUAGACGUGUUGAUGUAUAAGGGUACAUGUGAGAGACGUUAAAAGGCAAAGGUGCCGAAGUGAAUACCACCCAGUAUGGUAGGAUCUGGUUAAAUGGUUAAUAGCCUUUUAACUGUCAUAAGUUUUAUACUUAUGGAGUGCUACUUGUGAU